AGAGUUUGAUCAUGGCUCAGAUUGAACGCUGGCGGCAUGCCUAACACAUGCAAGUCGAACGGCAGCAUCAUAGGGGCGAAAGUUUCUAUGGAUGGCGAGUGGCGGACGGGUGAGUAAGAGGUAGGAAUCUGUCUAGGAGGGUGGGAUAACGCGAGGAAACUCGGGCUAAUACCGCAUAAUAUCGAGAGAUCAAAGCAGGG
rnacentral:rRNA from 1 species